CAUGAGUUACAAGGUAGAAAGUGUUACAGUAGCACUGCUACUCUGUUUCCCAGAUGACAAUUCUUCAAGGUGGUUAGGAGAAGACAGUAAUUUCUCUGCAGCAAAGCUGAAAAAAGGGGAGGUCACCUUUCACUCUUGUUUUCUCCAAAAUAGUUUUAUGAUGUCUCAGUGUUGCAGUCUACUGUAAACAGUGCUUUUAAUAAAC
rnacentral:lncRNA from 12 species